GACGAACGCUGGCGGCGUGCUUAACACAUGCAAGUCGAACGGAAAGGCCCUGCUUUUGUGGGGUGCUCGAGUGGCGAAAGGGUGAGUAACACGUGAAUAACCUGCCCUUGACUUUGGGAUAACUUCAGGAAACUGGGGCUAAUACCGGAUAGGAGCUCCUGCUGCAUGGUGGGGGUUGGAAAGUUUCGGCGGUUGGGGAUGGACUCGCGGCUUAUCAGCUUGUUGGUGGGGUAGUGGCUUACCAAGGCUUUGACGGGUAGCCGGCCUGAGAGGGUGACCGGCCACAUUGGGACUGAGAUACGGCCCAGACUCCUACGGGAGGCAGCAGUGGGGAAUAUUGCACAAUGGGCGGAAGCCUGAUGCAGCAACGCCGCGUGCGGGAUGACGGCCUUCGGGUUGUAAACCGCUUUCGCCUGUGACGAAGCGUGAGUGACGGUAAUGGGUAAAGAAGCACCGGCUAACUACGUG
rnacentral:rRNA from 1 species